GGGGUUGUGGCUCAAUGGUAGAGCACUUGCCUAGCAUGUGUGAGGCCGAGUUCGAUCCUCAACACCA
rnacentral:tRNA from 1 species